rfam:Pan troglodytes isolate Yerkes chimp pedigree #C0471 (Clint) chromosome X, whole genome shotgun sequence.
GCUGGGCAUGGUGGUGCAUGCCUGUAGUUCUAGCUACCAGGGAAGCUGAGGUAGGAGGAUUACUUGAGCCCAGGAGUUCAAGGUUACAGUGCGCUAUGAUUUUGCCACUGCUCUCUAGCCUGAGCGAUGAGCAAGACCCUGUCUCUU